GAUCUGUGACGCAGCCACAAUUCACUGUCUUUUGGAGCAAGAACUGGCCCAUGCUGUGAAUGCCUGCUCCCAUGCCCUGAAUAAAGCCAACCCAAGGUGCCCGGAGAGUCUUACAAGAGACACUGCCACUGAAAUAGCCAUCAAUGUGAAGGCGCUGUAUAAUGAAACAGAAUCUUUGCUAGUUGGCAGGGUUCCUUUGAAAAGUGCCACCUUUGGGGCAUCCUUUGCUCUGAGAAGAGAAGCUGAAAGGCUGCAUGAAGGCCAUCGCUCUUACCUACCUCC
rnacentral:sRNA from 1 species